rnacentral:tRNA from 1 species
GUCAAUAUAGUUAAUUUAUUAUAACAUUACGCUUUCACUGUAAUAUAGAAACACAGGGUUUCUAUUGACC